UGAGUAACCUGCCCUUAACUCUGGGAUAAGCCUGGAAAACUGGGUCUAAUACCGGAUAUGACUCCUCAUCGCAUGGUGGGGGGUGGAAAGCUUUUUGUGGUUUUGGAUGGACUCGCGGCCUAUCAGCUUGUUGGUGAGGUAAUGGCUCACCAAGGCGACGACGGGUAGCCGGCCUGAGAGGGUGACCGGCCACACUGGGACUGAGACACGGCCCAGACUCCUACGGGGAGGCAG
rnacentral:rRNA from 1 species